AACAAAAUUAUGAAAAUCAAUUUUGAAUUGAUAUCAUUGUCUUGCAUGCAUAUAUUUACGGAGUUUCAAAACCUAUAAAACAACCAUUUUCCAGUUUCAAUUCAUAAAACACUAAAGAGUAUGCACUUUUGAUGUGUCUUAUAUUCCAACAUCCCUAAGUAAGCUCACUUAAAAUACCCUACCCUUUACUUUUUUAUUUGG
rnacentral:lncRNA from 1 species